GAGAACCUGGAUCAGUGAUCAGUCAUCAAAGUUGAACCGGGUGAUAUGACAGGAAAAGAAAGAUUAUUUUAUACGAAACAGAAUCAUUUACAGUUGCUGUCUUGAAUCGCGUAAAGAAGGUUAGUUUAUAAAACGCAUUCCAGGCAAUGCGGCAUGAAAAUUAUAAAUUCUGAAUAAUAUGUUUUAUCCCUUGGGGAAUUAAUCCAAUCUUAAAGCGUCAGUGAACUAUAUAAUUUUUAUAUAAAAUUUUUAAAACAUGUUUUUAUCAGUCGAAAGUAACUGUUUUGAUGAGAGAAAUGGUUAUCGACAAUGUUCAGAAAGUUUGGGGUUUUUUUUUAAUUUAAAAAAUUUCCUGUGGUCCCCCUUUGCUGAGCAUGGGUUGCCUGCAGUGGUCGGCCCCUUUGCAAAAUGUUUUAAAACAUGUUUUUAUAGGCUAGUUUUUAUGAGUUGAAAGUAAUUACUUGUUUUGAGAGAAAUGUUUCUCAACAAUUUUCAGAAAGUUUAGAAGAUUUUGGGGCUUGUUUUCAAUUUUUGAAAAAUUUCCUGUGCUGAGCCUAGGGUUGCUGUGGUCCCCUUUGCAUUUUGCCGAAAAUAUAGACGGCAAAUGUUUCUCAACAAUUUGCAGAAAGUUUGGAACAGUUUGGGGAACGUUUUGAAUUUUUAAAAAAAUUUUGAAUUUUUAAAAAAAUUUUGAAUUUUUAAAAAAAUUUUGAAUUUUUAAAAAAUUCCUGUUGUUCCACCUUUUAUGACCCCAAGGUUUUAUGACCCCAAGGUUUUAUGACCCCUCCCCCUUCAUUUUACCCAAAAAAUUUAAAACAUAUUUUUAUUGGUCGAAACUAAUUGUUUUGAUGAUGAGAGAAAUGUUUCUUUGAAUAUGUUUUGACGCUUUCCGGUGAUCCCCACUGUGCUGCGCGUAAUAGGUUUUUGUAGACACAUUGGCAUUGAUAAAAUGCAAAGUAGAAAUUAGAAAUUCAGAAUAAUAUUUUUGUAUGUUGGCAUACAUAAGAUUUAAAUUCCCUUAGGGAAUUAUUGGCAUAGACAUUAUAAUUCGUGUAAUAAUUUUGUAUGCUGCAUUCAAUCUAUUGACCAAUCAGGGAGAUUAUUUUGUAAAUACCCACCAAUCAGAAGUUUGUGUUUUUAUGCUGAAACAGAAAUAGUAUUCCAGAGUAAAUUAUAUUCAAAUUUAUAUUCAAAUUUAGGGUGUGUUGCAGCUCUAUAUUGUGCCGUUGCCUCGUGUAGUUUAUUCGAAGACCUCGCCUAUUUGUGAACAGAAGUACUUCAAGGAUGAGGAAGGAUGAAGAUGCAACGUUUAAAUACAGCGGAGAAGCACAAACUCCGAAGUUAAAGACAAUGAUUAAGGUAUGUUCUAUCAAUUUGAUGUGAAAUGUAACAAGUUAGUAGCUGUAUUUGGUCGAAGUCGCUUAGCGUUCGACGUCUUGUUCUGGAGUAUUAAAGAUACUGAAUUAAACCUUAAGAUUUCGUGAAGUUUAGUUUAAAUUAGUAGAGAGAUAAGUGCAUAAAGUAUUCAGGGUAUUUUGGAGCUAAAUUUGUUUUAAAAUCUGUCAUUUUAGCGAAAACAAGAAAUGUUGAAUUUGAUUGUCGUCCAUGUGGAACACAACGCGUUCUUUCUGGUCGCCCAGAUCGUUGCGAGGAGGCAUCGGGCAUUGUAAUGAAUGGAUGACAAUGUGUGUCGCUGGCAAACCUACACUCCCCACUGCGACAGGCAGUCAAGCAUUUUUAACCUGCACAUUUUUGUUUUUAUUUCCCGUAUUUUUAUUUUAUGUUCAUAAAUAUCAUGACUCAUGACUUUAAAAGCUGGAAGGAGUUGAGAUUCCCCACUUAACUGCAUGCCUUCCGAUCAUUUAUAGACUCCAUUUUACAUGAUACCAUUUUACCAGUAAGAAUUUUUGGAAUAUAUAGUCAUAUAGAGCCCAACUAUAUGUCAUUGGCUCUGGGAAUAAGGUCUUUGUAUUAAAAAACAGGUACGCAUUGCGUACAUAUGACAAGAUCAUAGCAUGCAUAGGCAGUGGUAUUUCAACUUUAUUAUUUUUCCAAGGUCUCUGCGAGACUUUGAGUCAUUCAGCAUGAACAAGCAGUACAUGUAAAAAGACAGGCGCCGCUUUUUGGGUGUACUGUUUGUCCAUGUUGAAUGGCUGGAAGUGUUGCAGGUAUCUUGGGAUAUCUAAUAAAGUUGAUGUUAUUUCAGUGCUGUUUCUAUAAAGGGCAGCUUGCUAUGGCUAUAUGCCUUAGCCUAAAAAAAAAUCAGUUAUUUUCAAAUAAAACAUUUUAAGUGCAGUUUCUAUGAAGGACAGUGUGAAAAUUUGCCUAUGUUGAUUUUGGUUACAAUGAAAGGCAAGUAUAUAAAGUGCCAUUCACAGUUUUGGGAUAUAAAGCCCAGUUUACACUAUGCUCAAUUUUUGGUACAGCACAGAUAAAAUUUGUAGUCGAGCGGGUCUCAAGUGUAUGUACGUUCUAUAAAAAUGUACAGUAGUUUUACACAAGUAUAUAUAGUGUCGUUAAACUGCAUGCCAAAAAUUUCUGUCGACUGUUAGAAUGGUGGCUUGUAUGUGGGGGUAUCUUGCUAGGAUUUGCACAUUUAAAUAUUUACAAGUGCAUUAGGUCUCUUAGGUUUCAGUUUAAGACCAACAUGAGCGAGUGAGAUAAACUCGUCUAGCUUAGGAUAAGGCAUCAAGCGUGAAAUCCACGCACUAGACCCCUCAGGAUCGGACCCCAAACCUUUUUUCAAUACCAAAUGUGAAAUUACCCCCACCUUACCACAUCGUUGAAGAGUUAUGGUGGAUAUCUUGGGCAAAUGUGCAUUUCCUUGGUGGAUAUCUUGGGCAAAUGUGCAUUUUCUUGUUGGAUAUCUUGGGGAAUAUGUUCAAUACCAUCAGGAAUAUCUUCGGCAAAUCUGCAAUAUACCUUGAGGGAUAUCUUGGGCAAAUGUGCAGUAUGAUGAGGGUUAUCUUGGGCAAAUAUCUUGGAAAAACUUGUACAAUUUAAACUAAAGAAGGACGAUGUCGUAAGGUUAGUGGAUAUUUAUAAUAGCGAUAAAAUGGGGGUUCCCUGCGAAUAUAGGAACAAAGUAAAGGCCCACACAGACCGGACGCGAUUUGGCAACGUGACGCAAAUUUUCAGUUUUCAAAAACAAAUAAAACUGUCAACAGGUAAACAUUUUACAAGAUAUGCAGACCCAACAGCUAAAAUUGCUUAAGUGGUCCCGAAUAUUUGAAAAACACUGAAAAAUAUUAAAGUUAAAUGUCAUUGAAAACUGAAAAUUUACGUCGCGUUGCCAAAUCGCGUCCGGUCUGUGUGGGCCUUACGGCUGCCUAAUUAAUUAAUUAAGUGGAAACAAUAUGACGAAUUUCAAUAUGGCGGAGCGUAACAAUCUAACAAUAUGGAGGACUGAAUCUGAUUAAUCUGUAAAAAUGAUGCAUGUUUAGAAUAUGCAAAAAAAAAAAUGUGGCAUAAAUAUAUCAUGACAAAACAUGCUUCUUACAACUGCAUGCUAUGUUAUUUGAAUAAGUUUUUAGUAGGCAUGAUGUAG
rnacentral:lncRNA from 1 species